UACGUAGGGUGCAAGCGUUGUCCGGAAUUAUUGGGCGUAAAGAGCGUGUAGGCGGCCCGGUUAGUCCGCUGUGAAAGUUCAGGGCUCAACCCUGGAAUGCCGGUGGAUACUGUCGGGCUAGAGUCCGGAAGGGGCGAGUGGAAUUCCUGGUGUAGCGGUGAAAUGCGCAGAUAUCAGGAGGAACACCGGUGGCGAAGGCGCCACUCUGGGCCGAAACUGACGCUGAGGAGCGAAAGCGUGGGGAGCAAACAGG
rnacentral:rRNA from 1 species